AGCGAACGCUGGCGGCAGGCCUAACACAUGCAAGUCGAACGAAGUCUUCGGACUUAGUGGCGGACGGGUGAGUAACACGUUGGAACGUGCCUUUAGGUUCGGAAUAACUCAGGGAAACUUGUACUAAUACCGAAUGUGCCCUUCGGGGGAAAGAUUUAUCGCCUUUAGAGCGGCCCGCGUCUGAUUAGCUAGUUGGUGAGGUAAAGGCUCACCAAGGCGACGAUCAGUAGCUGGUCUGAGAGGAUGAUCAGCCACAUUGGGACUGAGACACGGCCCAAACUCCUACGGGAGGCAGCAGUGGGGAAUCUUGCGCAAUGGGCGAAAGCCUGACGCAGCCAUGCCGCGUGGAUGAUGAAGGUCUUAGGAUUGUAAAAUCCUUUCACCGGUGAAGAUAAUGACUGUAGCCGGAGAAGAAGCCCCGGCUAACUUCGUGCCAGCCGCCGCGGUAACAC
rnacentral:rRNA from 1 species